rnacentral:rRNA from 1 species
UUUUAGUUUGCCCCCCCGAAACUAAGUGAGCUACUUUAAAAUAGCCCCAGAGCCAACCCAUCUCUGUUGCAAUAGAGUGGGAUAAUUUUUAAGUAGAGGUGAUAAACCUAUCGAACUUAGAGAUAGCUGGUUUUUUAAGAAAAGAUUUUUAGUUCAGCCCUGAGUCUUCUAUUACACAAGAAUUAAACUAAACUCAGGAGUUAUUCAAAUAAGGCACAGCUUAUUUGAAACAGGAUACAACCUAGAAAAAAGGGUAAGACAAAUUUAAUCUCUGACAAGUGGGCCUGAAAGCAGCCACCUUUUAAAAAGCGUCAAAGCUUAACAUUAAUAAUUUUCUUAAUAUCUAAAUUAAUUUCUAACCCUUAUUUACUAUUAAAAAACUCCAUAAAAUUAUGGAAGUUAUUAUGCUAGAACAAGUAACAAGAAAAAGACUUUCUCCAAAAUGUAAGCUUAAGCCACAACAGACAAACUGA